UAUAAAAGCCAAAAGUUUAUAUUUGUUUUUUCAAUAAGAAAACACUAUACAAGAUAAGAAAUUGAUAUCAAGAGGGAUGGUAGUGGAAGAGUGGUAACUCAGUCAUGGGUGAAUAAUGGGGCUUAUGAAAAAAAUCAAAGUAUUGGGAAAAUAAAUGGAACUUAGAAAAAACGUGGCGAGCUUCCUUGCCCACAUGUUCUGCUAAAUCAAACACAUCACGUUUCCAACAAGAAAUGAUUUUCAUCACCACCAUUCAUAUGCCACAUGCCCCAGCCCUUAAGUUAUUGAUGCAUCUAGAUAAAGUAGGAAUGAUACUUUUUAACUCUUAAGAGUGAGGAGAGCUAGCAAUUUCAUAAAGUGGCUACUGGUAAGACGAUUUCUUUUUCCUUAGGGGAUUAUACAAGUAGAAAAAGGAGUCAUCUAAUUCAUGUAUUGCGUAAUAGUAGAAAAGAUGGACUCUGUUAAAAUGUAGAAACAAGAUAGUACAUUAUGUAAUACAGACUGUAUAAAACUGAAGACUGUAGAUUAUGUAAGAGCUGGUUGGAGACAUACUAUAAUUAGCAAUCUGUUGAUGUUCUACUCCCCCAGCUCAAAAGGGAGCAUAAUUUUUGUUGCGGGAUUUCCCCCUCCGUAUUUUAAAGGAAGUAUUUUCUAACUGCCCCAGGUUUCUCCAAGCUC
rnacentral:lncRNA from 1 species